rnacentral:antisense_RNA from 1 species
CUUCACCGAACCCAGCCACAGCGGCUGUUCGGCACUGCGACCCGCACCGUAGGUCGCGAUCAGCGCCUGUGCCUC